AUGGUAUUGGCGGUAUGGUUGUGCUUGUACUCUACUUCCACGCAAAGGAUUACUGCUCCCAUGAACACCUCUGCUUUCUCCAGCCUAGGCAUCAGCCAGCCUCCUCAGGACCCUGGCCACAGGUGCGCCUUUCCUAUCGCCUCCUAUCUAUGGAAACUUAGUAGUUACUGCACUCAAUUUGAGAUGGAGCUGGGUUCUUCUGGGUCCAUCUCAGGUAAAUGAUCUGCACUAUGGCAUCUUGGAAACAUUCUUUGGUCAAAAGGAAACACUUCAGUGCUGUCAGUAGCAUAUAGCUCUCACCAGGACUGUGUCAGUAGCAUAUAGCUCUCACCAAAUUAAUGGAGAUUCCUCUCCAAGUUGAUCUUCUAUGGGUGGAGGAGCCCUUGAGCUCAACCUUCAUUGGAAAUGAGAAUAAGAAAUCAAUUAUUCCUUCAUUCAUUUGGAUGUCAUAAAAAGGACACAGACCAUGAGGUCAGGAAAACUUGGGUCUGAAGUUUCUCCCACAAGGUCCUGUUAUGGUUGCUAUUGCAUAACUUUUUCUGAGUUUCAUUUUCCAGCUUUAAAUUGGGAAUGGUACCUCCUAUACAGGAUGCUUCGUUGUGAAGGUCAAAUGGGAUAACGUUGGCCAGCUGCUUAGAAAUGGACCUGAACAGACUUGUGUUGCCAAGGGGGAGGGAGAAGGGAGUGGGAUGGAUGGGGAGUUUGGGGUUGUAGAUGCAAACUAUUACAUUCAGAAUGAAUAAGCAAUGAGGUUCUACUGUACAGCACAGGGGACCAUAUCCAGUCUCUUGGGAUAGAGCAUAUAGGAAGACAGUAUGAGAAAAAGAAUAUAUAUGUAUAUAUGACUUGGUCACUUUGCUGUACAGCAGAAAUUGGCACAACAUUGUAAUUAAAUAUACUUGAAUUAAAAAAAACUUUAUCAAAAAAGAGCAAUGGAUAUGAACAGGCAUGUCACCAACAUAUAUAUCUAUCUCUAUCUCUACAUCUACAUCUGUAUGCGUAUAUGUGUGUGUAUAGGCAUACCUCAGAUACAUUGUUUGUUCAGUUCCAGAUCGCUGCAAUAAAGAGAAUAUCUCAAUUAAAAAAUUGGUCUAG
rnacentral:lncRNA from 1 species